rnacentral:rRNA from 1 species
UGAGUAACCUGCCCUGGACUUUGGGAUAACCCUCGGAAACGGGGGCUAAUACCGGAUAUGACGGCUCACCGCAUGGUGUGGUUGUGGAAAGUUUUUCGGCCUGGGAUGGGCUCGCGGCCUAUCAGCUUGUUGGUGGGGUGAUGGCCUACCAAGGCGACGACGGGUAGCCGGCCUGAGAGGGCGACCGGCCACACUGGGACUGAGACACGGCCCAGACUCCUACGGGAGGCA